rnacentral:tRNA from 1 species
GGGAAGAUACCAGAGUGGCCAAAUGGGGCAGACUGUAAAUCUGCUGGCGUACGCCUUCGGUGGUUCGAAUCCAUCUCUUCCCACCA